rnacentral:rRNA from 1 species
GACGAACGCUGGCGGCGUGCUUAACACAUGCAAGUCGAACGGAAAGGCCCUGCUUUUGUGGGGUGCCCGAGUGGCGAACGGGUGAGUAACACGUGAGUAACCUGACCUUGACUUUGGGAUAACUUCAGGAAACUGGGGCUAAUACCGGAUAGGAGCCCCCGCUGCAUGGUGGGGGUUGGAACGUUUAGGCGGUUGGGGAUGGACGCGCGGCUUACCAGUUUGUUGGUGGGGUAGUGGCAUACCAAGGCAUUGACGGGUAGGCGACAUGGGAGGGUGACCGGCCACAUGAGUCCUGAGAUACGGCCCAGUGGCCUACGGGAGGCAGCGGUGGGAAAUAUUGCACAAUGGGCGCAAGCCGGAGGCAGAAACGCCGCGGGCGGAAAGACGGCCUUCUGGGUGAAAACCGCUUUCGCCUGUUACGAAGCGGGAGUGACGGUAAUGGGUAAAGAAGCACCGGCUAACUACGUG